GACGAACGCUGGCGGCGUGCUUAACACAUGCAAGUCGAACGGAAAGGCCCUGCUUUUGUGGGGUGCUCGAGUGGCGAACGGGUGAGUAACACGUGAGUAACCUGCCCUUGACUUUGGGAUAACUUCAGGAAACUGGGGCUAAUACCGGAUAGGAGCUCCUGCUGCAUGGUGGGGGUUGGAAAGUUUCGGCGGUUGGGGAUGGACUCGCGGCUUAUCAGCUUGUUGGUGGGGUAGUGGCUUACCAAGGCUUUGACGGGUAGCCGGCCUGAGAGGGUGACCGGCCACAUGGGGACUGAGAUACGGCCCAGACUCCUACGGGAGGCAGCAGUGGGGAAUAUUGCACAAUGGGCGGAAGCCUGAGGCAGCAACGCCGCGUGCGGGAUGAAGGCCUUCGGGUUGGAAACCGCUUUAGCCUGUGACGAAGCGUGAGUGACGGUAAUGGGUAAAGAAGCACCGGCUAACUACGUG
rnacentral:rRNA from 1 species